rnacentral:rRNA from 1 species
GACGAACGCUGGCGGCGUGCUUAACACAUGCAAGUCGAACGGAAAGGCCCUGCUUUUGUGGGGUGCUCGAGUGGCGAACGGGUGAGUAACACGUGAGUAACCUGCCCUUGACUUUGGGAUAACUUCAGGAAACUGGGGCUAAUACCGGAUAGGAGCUCCUGCUGCAUGGUGGGGGUUGGAAAGUUUCGGCGGUUGGGGAUGGACUCGCGGCUUAUCAGCUUGUUGGUGGGGUAGUGGCUUACCAAGGCUUUGAAGGGUAGCCGGCCUGAGAGGGUGACCGGCCACAUUGGGACUGAGAUACGGCCCAGAAUCCUACGGGAGGCAGCAGUGGGGAAUAUUGCACAAUGGGCGGAAGCCUGAUGCAGCAGCGCCGCGUGCGGGAUGACGGCCUUCGGGUUGUAAACCGCUUUCGCCUGUGACGAAGCGUGAGUGACGGUAAUGGGUAAAGAAGCACCGGCUAACUACGUG